GACGAACGCUGGCGGCGUGCUUAACACAUGCAAGUCGAACGGAAAGGCCCUGCUUGCCGGGUACUCGAGUGGCGAACGGGUGAGUAACACGUGGGUGAUCUGCCCUGCACUUCGGGAUAAGCCUGGGCAACUGGGUCUAAUACCGGAUAGGAGCCAUUUUUAGUGUGAUGGUUGGAAAGUUUUUUCGGUGUAGGAUGAGCUCGCGGCCUAUCAGCUUGUUGGUGGGGUAAUGGCCUACCAAGGCGGCGACGGGUAGCCGGCCUGAGAGGGUGGACGGCCACAUUGGGACUGAGAUACGGCCCAGACUCCUACGGGAGGCAGCAGUGGGGAAGAUUGAAGAAUGGGCGCAAGCCUGAUGCAGCGACGCCGCGUGGGGGAUGACGGCCUUCGGGUUGGAAACUCCUUUCGCUAGGGACGAAGCUUUUUGUGACGGUACCUAGAGAAGAAGCACCGGCUAACUACGUG
rnacentral:rRNA from 1 species